UACGGAGGGGACUAGCGUUGUUCGGAAUUACUGGGCGUAAAGCGCACGUAGGCGGAUUUGUAAGUCAGGGGUGAAAUCCCGGGGCUCAACCUCGGAACUGCCUUUGAUACUGCAAAUCUCGAGUCCGGAAGAGGUGAGCGGAAUUCCUAGUGUAGAGGUGAAAUUCGUAGAUAUUAGGAAGAACACCAGUGGCGAAGGCGGCUCACUGGUCCGGUACUGACGCUGAGGUGCGAAAGCGUGGGGAGCAAACAGG
rnacentral:rRNA from 1 species